AAAAUGCGAGAAGGGUCUGGCUGCAGACCAUGGGCGAGUGGAGCUCCACUCUCGAACCGGAAAUACGUCACCUCCACUUGAAAACAUCAAGAUGGCGUCGCCGUGAGUUCUUCAAACUUAAACUCAGAUCAAAUGUAUAUCAAGUGUUAUCCAUCCUCAUAACACCUCCACAGACAGAGACUGAACUUCUGAGCACCAUCACCUUGUCUGCUUUGGGACUGUCAAAGGUGAAUGAUGCAGUACUUUUCUGUGUUGAAUUUACAUAACGUCAGUACACAGACAUAGUUUUGUUCCAGUUUUGCUGUGCUCAUGUCUUCUUUGUGUCCCCAGCCCAGCAAUCAGAUGCAUCAGAACAAGUGCAGUGAAGAUAUUAAAAGAGACACUAUCACUAUCUAAAGUACAGAAAGCCGUACAUCAUCUCUAGCUGCAGUCGCUUACAGUGCAGCCAGCUACACAAAGACUGUGGGUCUGGUCACCAGAGA
ensembl:lncRNA